rnacentral:rRNA from 1 species
GACGAACGCUGGCGGCGUGCUUAACACAUGCAAGUCGAACGGAAAGGCCCUGCUUUUGUGGGGUGCUCGAGUGGCGAACGGGUGAGUAACACGUGAGUAACCUGCCCUUGACUUUGGGAUAACUUCAGGAAACUGGGGCUACUACCGGAUAGGAGCUCCUGCUGCAUUGUGGGGGUUGGAAAGUUUCGGCGGUUGGGGAUGGACUCGCGGCUUAUCAGCUUGUUGGUGGGGUAGUGGCUUACCCAGGCUUUGACGGGUAGCCGGCCUGAGAGGGUGACCGGCGACAUUGGGACUGAGAUACGGCCCAGACUCCUACGGGAGGCAGCAGUGGGGAAUAUUGCACAAUGGGCGGAAGGCUGAUGCAGCAACGCCGCGUUCGGGAUGACGGCCUUCGGGUUGUAAACCGCUUUCGCCUGUGACGAAGCGUGAGUGACGGUAAUGGGUAAAGAAGCACCGGCUAACUACGUG